rnacentral:rRNA from 1 species
GAUGAACGCUGGCGGCGUGCCUAAUACAUGCAAGUCGAGCGAACGGACGAGAAGCUUGCUUCUCUGAUGUUAGCGGCGGACGGGUGAGUAACACGUGGAUAACCUACCUAUAAGACUGGGAUAACUUCGGGAAACCGGAGCUAAUACCGGAUAAUAUUUUGAACCGCGUGGUUCAAAAGUGAAAGACGGUCUUGCUGUCACUUAUAGAUGGAUCCGCGCUGCAUUAGCUAGUUGGUAAGGUAACGGCUUACCAAGGCAACGAUGCAUAGCCGACCUGAGAGGGUGAUCGGCCACACUGGAACUGAGACACGGUCCAGACUCCUACGGGAGGCAGCAGUAGGGAAUCUUCCGCAAUGGGCGAAAGCCUGACGGAGCAACGCCGCGUGAGUGAUGAAGGUCUUCGGAUCGUAAAACUCUGUUAUUAGGGAAGAACAUAUGUGUAAGUAACUGUGCACAUCUUGACGGUACCUAAUCAGAAAGCCACGGCUAACUACGU